GACGAACGCUGGCGGCGUGCCUAAUACAUGCAAGUCGAACGAGAGCAACCGGUGCUUGCACUGGUCAAUCUAGUGGCGAACGGGUGAGUAACACGUGGGUAACCUGCCCAUCAGAGGGGGAUAACAUCCGGAAACGGAUGCUAAAACCGCAUAGGUCUUCGAACCGCAUGGUUUGAAGAGGAAAAGAGGCGCAAGCUUCUUCUGAUGGAUGGACCCGCGGUGCAUUAGCUAGUUGGUGAGGUAACGGCUCACCAAGGCCGUGAUGCAUAGCCGACCUGAGAGGGUGAUCGGCCACAUUGGGACUGAGACACGGCCCAAACUCCUACGGGAGGCAGCAGUAGGGAAUCUUCCGCAAUGGACGCAAGUCUGACGGAGCAACGCCGCGUGAGUGAAGAAGGUUUUCGGAUCGUAAAACUCUGUUGUUAGAGAAGAACAAGUGCUAGAGUAACUGUUAGCGCCUUGACGGUAUCUAACCAGAAAGCCACGGCUAACUACGUG
rnacentral:rRNA from 1 species